ACGAACGCUGGCGGCGUGCUUAACACAUGCAAGUCGAACGGAAAGGCCCUGCUUUUGUGGGGUGCUCGAGUGGCGAACGGGUGAGUAACACGUGAGUAACCUGCCCUUGACUUUGGGAUAACUUCAGGAAACUGGGGCUAAUACCGGAUAGGAGCUCCUGCUGCAUGGUGGGGGUUGGAAAGUUUCGGCGGUUGGGGAUGGACUCGCGGCUUAUCAGCUUGUUGGUGGGGUAGUGGCUUACCAAGGCUUUGACGGGUAGCCGGCCUGAGAGGGUGACCGGCCACAUUGGGACUGAGAUACGGACCAGAAUCCUACGGGAGGCAGCAGUGGGGAAUAUUGCACAAUGGGCGGAAGCCUGAUGCAGCAACGCCGCGUGCGGGAUGACGGCCUUCGGGUUGUAAACCGCUUUCGCCUGUGACGAAGCGUGAGUGACGGUAAUGGGUAAAGAAGCACCGGCUAACUACGUG
rnacentral:rRNA from 1 species